rnacentral:rRNA from 1 species
UACGUAGGGGGCAAGCGUUGUCCGGAAUCAUUGGGCGUAAAGAGCGCGUAGGCGGCCCAGUAAGUCCGCUCUGAAAGUCAGGGGCUCAACCCCUGAAUGCGGGUGGAUACUGCUGGGCUAGAGUCCGGAAGAGGCGAGUGGAAUUCCUGGUGUAGCGGUGAAAUGCGCAGAUAUCAGGAAGAACACCCGUGGCGAAGGCGGCUCGCUGGGACGGUACUGACGCUGAGACGCGAAAGCGUGGGGAGCGAACAGG